rnacentral:lncRNA from 1 species
GCAGAGGCUCCUUCUGCAGAUCGCUUACAGGAAUUAUGGAGGCUCAGAGGUCACGGCAUCCGCCCAGGGCCUUGGGGUUGGAUGGCAGAACAGGACUUGGAUUCAGGGCCCUCUGCAUCCUGUGUGCCCUGGAGCUGCCUCGAUGCUCAGGAUCUGGGGCAGGGACCAGAGGGCUCACUGACCUGGUGCUGGAUGUAGGCGUGGAUCCGCUCCAGCAUCCCCUCGCAGGUGUACUCGUAGGGCCCAGUGCAGAGCCACCGUGGAGAAAAUCACUGACCUGAAAGGGCAGGGGCAGCAGUCAGGACUCAGGAAGGAGCCAUCCCGGACUCAGAGAAAGGUCUGUUUUAGGCUUCAACCUCCCCACCCCACCAUGCCUGGUGGCACCUGACCUGGCCCAGCCCAUCUCCUAAUGAGGCCGCUUUCCCGUCUUUAGCCAGUGGGUGAAAUCUAACUGUUUGACUCAAGCCUGCAACCACCUCCUUUCUUCCUCAUCAGCGUUGGGUGGUGCUAGAAAGUCCAACUGCGCCAAGCUCGGUCCUGCCUUCUGUGUACCCCACUUCUUAGGAGACUCGUCCUGGGGCCUCUGGCCAAGGGGACAUCCCUGACACUCAAGGGUCCCAGGGAAGCGGCAGUCACUGAUGUCCUUGAAGCCGGACAUUGCCCCAGCACUGACGUCCCCCUGCACUGUGCGUGGGUAUUCUCAACGCUGGGGCAAGUUCGAAGUCCCGGAGAAUCUGCAGGUCCCAUCCCCAGCCCAGCCUUGAAGCCCCGUGCUCUGCACAGCCCUGUCCCGACCUGCUCUCAUUCCCGAGCCGAUGGCCCAAGAAGACCCUGGCAGCCAGUUGCUGCCCCAGCUGGUUCCCUAAACACUCAUGACGAAGUCCUGGGAGCCUCUGAGCCCCACACACUUCUGGGGGUCUUGCGGGGACAAGGCUUCACUCUCAGGUUAUAAAUAAAACUCCCCAGAGAAGAGCUUUCCCCUCCAAAUGCCGCUCCCCGGCUCCGUGACAGCAAAUCUCUGAGUUACUCUUGCUCCUGUGUCUGUAAGCCCUUGUCACAAGAUAAUUCAAAGGUCCCUGUGUGAAGCAAACACUCACGGCCAACGACGACGACGACGUUCCGCC